rnacentral:rRNA from 1 species
UAGCUAGUUGGUGAGGUAAUGGCUCACCAAGGCGACGAUCCGUAACUGGUCUGAGAGGAUGAUCAGUCACACUGGAACUGAGACACGGUCCAGACUCCUACGGGAGGCAGCAGUGGGGAAUAUUGGACAAUGGGCGAAAGCCUGAUCCAGCCAUGCCGCGUGUGUGAAGAAGGUCUUCGGAUUGUAAAGCACUUUAAGUUGGGAGGAAGGGCAUUAACCUAAUACGUUGGUGUCUUGACGUUACCGACAGAAUAAGCACCGGCUAACUCUGUGCCAGCAGCCGCGGUAAUACAGAGGGUGCAAGCGUUAAUCGGAAUUACUGGGCGUAAAGCGCGCGUAGGUGGUUCGUUAAGUUGGAUGUGAAAUCCCCGGGCUCAACCUGGGAACUGCAUUCAAAACUGACGAGCUAGAGUAUGGUAGAGGGUGGUGGAAUUUCCUGUGUAGCGGUGAAAUGCGUAGAUAUAGGAAGGAACACCAGUGGCGAAGGCGACCACCUGGACUGAUACUGACACUGAGGUGCGAAAGCGUGGGGAGCAAACAGGAUUAGAUACCCUGGUAGUCCACGCCGUAAACGAUGUCAACUAGCCGUUGGGAGCCUUGAGCUCUUAGUGGCGCAGCUAACGCAUUAAGUUGACCGCCUGGGGAGUACGGCCGCAAGGUUAAAACUCAAAUGAAUUGACGGGGGCCCGCACAAGCGGUGGAGCAUGAGGUUUAAUUCGAAGCAACGCGAAGAACCUUACCAGGCCUUGACAUCCAAUGAACUUUCCAGAGAUGGAUUGGUGCCUUCGGGAACAUUGAGACAGGUGCUGCAUGGCUGUUGUCAGCUCGUGUCGUGAGAUGUUGGGUUAAGUCCCGUAACGAGCGCAACCCUUGUCCUUAGUUACCAGCACGUUAUGGUGGGCACUCUAAGGAGACUGCCGGUGACAAACCGGAGGAAGGUGGGGAUGACGUCAAGUCAUCAUGGCCCUUACGGCCUGGGCUACACACGUGCUACAAUGGUCGGUACAGAGGGUUGCCAAGCCGCGAGGUGGAGCUAAUCCCACAAAACCGAUCGUAGUCCGGAUCGCAGUCUGCAACUCGACUGCGUGAAGUCGGAAUCGCUAGUAAUCGCGAAUCAGAAUGUCGCGGUGAAUACGUUCCCGGGCCUUGUACACACCGCCCGUCACACCAUGGGAGUGGGUUGCACCAGAAGUAGCUAGUCUAACCUUCGGGAGGACGGUUACCACGGUGUGAUUCAUGACUGGGGUGAAGUCGUAACAAGGUAGCCGUAGGGGAACCUGCGGCUG